rnacentral:ncRNA from 2 species
AUGAAUAUUGCGGGAGAGACUAAACUCGCCGUUUAGCACCGAAGGAGCAAAUCCUGACCGCUCAGGACAAAUCUCUCAGGUAAAAGGACAGAGAAAAGUAG